rnacentral:rRNA from 1 species
GAUGAACGCUAGCUGCAGGCUUAACACAUGCAAGUCGCGGGGCAGCAUGGGGGUUGCUUGCAAUCCCCGAUGGCGACCGGCGCACGGGUGAGUAACGCGUAUCCAACCUGCCCUUCACCACGGGAUAACCCGGCGAAAGUCGGACUAAUACCGUAUGUUGUCCAUUGACGGCAUCCGAUUUGGACGAAAGGUUUGGCGGUGAAGGAUGGGGAUGCGUCCGAUUAGCUGGACGGCGGGGUGACGGCCCACCGUGGCGACGAUCGGUAGGGGUUCUGAGAGGAAGGUCCCCCACACUGGAACUGAGACACGGUCCAGACUCCUACGGGAGGCAGCAGUGAGGAAUAUUGGUCAAUGGGCGUAAGCCUGAACCAGCCAAGUAGCGUGCAGGAGGACGGCCCUAUGGGUUGUAAACUGCUUUUAUGCGGGGAUAAAGUGGCCCACGUGUGGGUUUUUGCAGGUACCGCAUGAAUAAGGACCGGCUAACUACGUG